rnacentral:lncRNA from 1 species
UGAAAUGGAAGUUAUGGAACUCCUUGUACUUGUGUUAUGGGAAAAAGUUGACAAUGAAAAUGACAUUAAAUGUGGAGAAUGAUAGGCUACAUUUGCAUCUGUUGGCCAUCAAGUAGUUGAUAUGUCAUUGUAGGCUACUGUAGCCUACCAUUUAAUACAAUAAGUACAGUAUGUUGAAAUGACGAUAAGCCCAAAGGGGGCGCUUACAGUAAUCAACUGAAAUUCCAAUCUUUGAACGAGCAUAUCUCCUGUCCGGUUGGUGUUUGAAUUGUUAUCACUAAUUGGCCCAAAUGGGGGCACUGCACCAUUUGUGGGGGACAACAUGUUUACUGUUGACUUGUAUUGGAUUUUGGUUGUAUUUGACAAAUCGAGAGUUUGGGAGACUUCAAGGAUCUAAUAAAGUUAGUUAAAGUUCCUUGUCUCUUCCGCUCUGGAAGUUAAUCGUCUACCUACCAUAAAUACAAUACCAAAAGUUUUGCGCACUAACGCUUGGUAGUCUUAGGGCGAUGUUUUCAAGCACAACAGACGUACGUCUAGAACCCGCUGAAAUUCAAAGUUUAAAGUAGGAAAGGCAUCGAAUAAACAAAGUCGUUUGAAUCUUCACUGCAAUUUAUGCCCAGUCGUGACUUGUUUGCCACACACUGACAUUUCUGUUAAGGAGCAUGGAUAGGAAACAUCGAAGUGGGUUGUCGACAACUUUGAAGACACAUAGAGGUCCUCUGUCUGACACAAAGGACAAUGUCCCCUCGUCAGAGGUCAAUGAUGUUCAGAAGAGGCGUCGCCUGAAGUUGUUGGGCGAGGAGAACGUCAGUCCUAACAAGAGUUCUUCAUCAAGAGACCACCUCUGCUGUGCAGAGCUGGAGGUGAAGCCAGACACCCCGCUCUCUGCUCUGUCCGCUCCAGAGUACAGCAACUAACCCAGAGAAGUGAGGGAGGCCCUCUACUGGCUCCGAGACCAUCCAUUAUAAUCCAGGAAGGGUUCAAAAAGCACAUUCUUAUUGGUGAGGCAGAAUUCAGCUCACGGGUGGAGCGGUUUAACGCCCCCACCACCUGUCCAGCCAGCCCUCUGCCAGGAAACUGGUGCCCCCGUACCCUCUCCAACGCCGUUACCAACUUACAGCUUAAACUUGAGGACAGUGAAACACCCAGCUCCAAGCAAGUCUCCUGCAUACGCCAGGAAAGGGAGGAGGAGCUGCGACUCUUAAGGGCCCAGCCAAUUGCAAAGAAUGUCUUUCUAAAUCAAAGAUUCUCUGAUUCCUCACUGACUGAGCAGGCAGACCUCAAUGUGACUGGUGAUGAACCUCUCUGGGUGAAGGACGGCAGCUUUACCGAGACUUCUGUCACUGCUAAGAUCCAUGGAGUGGAGCCUCCAAUCCAAGACAUUGAGGCUGAGCUGAGCUCUCAAGAUGAAACCAACACUGCUGAGAUGAUUGACCUGAUGUUUAAGGACAUGCUGGAGGCUUCUGCCCAGGGAAGGGAGAAGGAGGGCAAUGAGGAUUAUGACAGUGCCAUAGCCACAGUGAUGCGCAGAAAGGAGAAAACAGAGUUGGACAAGGAGAAAGCUGAGGAGGGUGAAGACCUGGAAGAGAUCAGGGAACUGGACUCCAGUGUAGAUGAGCUGCUGACCCUCCCACCCAGCUGCAUCCUCUCUCCUCUCAGCAGGUCUGUGGAAGCUGUGGUCACUCCAAUGAGACUUGCAGCUAGUCAGCCAGCCACCCCACCAUCCCUACCUCUGACUCCUGAAGAGCUGACCACUCCCCCUGCCGACAGUGCCCCUCUCUACAACAUCGAUGCUUACCGUACCCAGAGGCAGAGCACCAAGCCAGCUAUUCAGAGUGUAACCCCAGGGUUGCAGAGGCGUGCCGCUGAGAAGUCCCACCCCCAGAAAACUGUCAACACCAAGGACAGGAUCAUGGUUCUGAAUGAGGAGGCUGCCAAGCUACAGACGGUCAUCAAUCAGACGUUGCAGGCCCUGCUGCACUGA